rnacentral:tRNA from 1 species
AGUAAAAUGACCGAGCUAUAGGUGAUAAAUUGUAAAUUUAUUUACGGAAUAUUCCUUUUACUG